CAAAAGCCUUAGUGUAUAGUGCGCUAUAUUUGCGAACUAAUUUAUAAAUGGACAAACCGAGGCUUGCCCGUGUGACCAAGGUUCUUGGAAGAACAGGUUCCCAAGGCCAGUGUACUCAGGUACGAGUUGAAUUCUUGGAUGAAAGUAACAGAUCCAUCAUUCGUAAUGUCAAAGGACCCGUGCGUGAAGGUGACAUCCUGAACCUACUAGAAUCUGAGAGAGAAGCAAGGAGGCUUCGCUGAUAAUCCAUAUGCUUUAAGGUAUAUGUAUUUAAACAUCAACAACCAACAUGUGAUUAUCAUUUCAAGAACUCUUGCAUCAUAAUCAUUGGAACUUGGAAUUAAAAAUUUUAAUUUGA